rnacentral:tRNA from 1 species
GGCCCCAUCGUCUAGCGGCUAGGACGUUGCCUUCUCAAGGCAAAGAUCAUGGGUUCGAAUCCCAUUGGGGUCA